rnacentral:RNase_P_RNA from 1 species
CGAGACCUCUUGAUGGCCGCGACCCAAGUCCUGAACAGGACGCGGGUUGAGGAACUUCCGGGCUCCGCAGAGCACGAUGGCGGAUAACGUCCGCCCAGGGCGACCUGAGAGAUAGCGCAACAGAGAACAGACCGCCCGCUUCGCGCGGGUAAGGGUGAAACGGCGGUGUAAGAGACCACCGGGCGACCGGUAACGGGAGCCGCAUGGCAAGCCUCAUCGGGAGCAAGGCCAAGCAGAAGACGUCAAGGGCUGCUCGCCCGUGUCUUCGGGUAGGCUGCUAGAGCCUGGCGGCGACGUCAGGUCGAGAUGGAUGGCCAUCCGCGUGGCGACACGCGACAGAACCCGGGGUAUAAGAGGUCUCAUCCC